GACGAACGCUGGCGGCGUGCUUAACACAUGCAAGUCGAACGGAAAGGCCCUGCUUUUGUGGGGUGCUCGAGUGGCGAACGGGUGAGUAACACGUGAGUAACCUGCCCUUGACUUUGGGAUAACUUCAGGAAACUGGGGCUAAUACCGGAUAGGAGCUCCUGCUGCAUGGUGGGGGUUGGAAAGUUUCGGCGGUUGGGGAUGGACUCGCGGGUUAUCAGCUUGUUGGUGGGGUAGUGGCUUACCAAGGCUUUGACGGGUAGCCGGCCUGAGAGGGUGACCGGCCACAUUGGGACUGAGAUACGGCCCAGACUCCUACGGGAGGCAGCAGUGGGGAAUAUUGCACAAUGGGCGGAAGCCUGAUGCAGCAACGCCGCGUGCGGGAUGACGGCUUUCGGGUUGUAAACCGCUGUCGCCGGUGACGAAGCGUGAGUGACGGUAAUGGGUAAAGAAGCACCGGCUAACUACGUG
rnacentral:rRNA from 1 species